ensembl:lncRNA
UAGUCGUGAUGCGCAGGUACACAAGCUCGACCCCGCCCCCCCCUCACACCUGACGCAAUGAUGUCUUGUUACACUUCAUGAAUGGGUAGGCUAGGCCACUGCCCGCACAGGUACAACCACAAGGCUACACCUACCCACCUCUCACAAAUCAGCGAGGCCACUCCCACCUCACGCACAGGUAAACCAGCUAGGCCACUUCCACCUCACAUACAGGUAAACCAGCUAGGCCACUCCCACCUCACACACAGGUAAACCAGCUAGGCCAAUCCCACAUCAUGCACAGGUAAACAAGCUAGGCCACUCCCACCUCACGCACAGGUAAACCAACUAGGCCACUCCCACCUCACGCACAGGUAAACCAGCUAGGCCACUACCAUCUCAGGCACAGGUAAACCAGCUAGGCCACUCCCACCUCACGCACAGGUAAACCAGCUAAGCCACUCCCAUCUCAGGUACAGGUAAACCAGCUCGACCGUGUUUGACCGACAGGUACUGCAGGAAGGGGUUGAUGCAUUGAUUACACAUAAAGAGAAUUUAAUUCAAAUAUGAGCUUCCAAGCAAUCUCCAUAGAAAGUGAAUUGGAUAUGUAGAACAGAAGCAUCUCCAAGGAUCUUGAAUCCGCACAAUCUUUUACUUAUGGUUUUAAAAAGUACAAUGC